UACGAAGGGGGCUAGCGUUGCUCGGAAUCACUGGGCGUAAAGGGUGCGUAGGCGGGUUUUUAAGUCAGGGGUGAAAUCCUGGAGCUCAACUCCAGAACUGCCUUUGAUACUGAAGAUCUUGAGUCCGGGAGAGGUGAGUGGAACUGCGAGUGUAGAGGUGAAAUUCGUAGAUAUUCGCAAGAACACCAGUGGCGAAGGCGGCUCACUGGCCCGUAACUGACGCUGAGGCACGAAAGCGUGGGGAGCAAACAGG
rnacentral:rRNA from 1 species